AUUAGAUAAAAAACCAAUACUCUUUAGAGCUUCUUGGUAAUUCAUAAUAACUUAUCAAAUCACAUGAUCUUGUGCUGGUGAUAGUUCAUUCAAAUUUCUGCCCUAUCAACUUUUAAUAGUAGGAUAGUGGCCUACCAUGGUGGCAACAGGUAACAGGGAAUUAGAAUUCAAUUUCAGAGAGAAAGUCUGAGAAACAGCUAUCAUAUCUAAGAAAGGCAGCAGGCAUGCAAAUUACCCAAUUCCAAUACAGGAAGAUAGUAACAAUAAAUACUGAUACAGGGCUCUUUCAGAUCUUGUAAUUGGAAUGAGUACAAUUUAAACAUCUUAAUAAGAAGCAAUUGAAGGGCAAGUCUGGUGCCAGCAGCCAUAGUAAUUCCAGCUUCAAUAGCAUAUAUUAAAGUUGUUGCAGUUAAAAAGCUUAUAGUUGAAUCUUGGGUCUGGCUGGCAAGUCCAUCUUACCACAUAUACUGGUCUGGCUGGAUCUUUUCUUCUGGGGAGUCCCAUGGUCUUUAUUGG
rnacentral:rRNA from 1 species